ensembl:lncRNA
CUCGGGCGGGGACGGCGGCACCGCGGGGGCCGCAUCCUCGGUGCGGACCCGGGAAAGUUUGGGAAGUCGCCGCGGCCGCUUCGCAGCGGCGGGGGACGCACGGCCAGGGCCGCCCUCCGCGCCGCGCUCGCCCUCUCCGCGCCGCUGCUGAAUAAUUCAUGGCGCGGCCGCCGGCCAUUAGCAUGCACCGGGCGCGCAGCGCGUCUGUGCCAAGCCGCCGCCGCAUUCGGCGCCCGGGCAGCGCCAGACGAGCGGCCGCGCGGCGACCGGGCCCGCGCUGUCCCCGCGCCCGCUCCGCGGCGCCCAUUGUGCCCGGGCCAUCGACACGGGCUGGUCCUCCCCGAGCCCGCCUUGGCCCGCGCCCUCCCGACGGCCAGGCUCUGCGAGUCCGGGUCCGCUGCGCCCGCCGGGCAGCCCCGGGAUGCACGUGAACUUGGAGAAAGUCGCGGGGCGCGCCGGCCGGGCCCUCCGCGGUAGGGCGUGGGCGCUCCCGGGCCGGCGCGCUUUCGUUUUCGUCCGGGACAAAGGUCCCCGGCGGCGGCGCCGGUCGCGGACGCGGUGACCAGGUCGUGCGGGCCACUCUUCGUGCGGCCGCUCGCUGAAUACCAGGAUGCCGGAGGAAGGAGCGGCGCGGGGCCUGGCCGUGUGUUUGCGGCCGGGCCGUUCCAGCCUCAAGAGUUGCGGGAACCGCACCGCUCUGUCCGAGGUUUCAGCGCGGAAAGGAGGCAAGCAUUGCGAACCCGGGACUCUCGGCCGAGAGUCUCUGCGGCCGUGGGCACGUUAGCACUGCGCUGGCUACGGCCAGGCGCGGUCGACCGGCAAGGGCAGGACUGUCGACCUGUGCGCUGCGGGCACGAUCCGUUCAGGGCGACUCCGGAGGACGGCCUUUUACAGUCCAGGGGACACCCGAAGGAGGUUGCUCCCCAACCUGAAGCGACCGCCAGCUUGCAAGAACUCCACCGUCGUCCUUCAGUCUGGAACUUGGAAUCUGUGAAGUCCAGCUUCUCACCUCAGCAAAACUGACUUUUGAGGACUCAACACUCGCACAAAAGAGGAGGCCCUGAAAACGAAACCGGCUCUUGUCGGGUUUGCUCACUGCUGGAUACGACAUAAGGAACCGGGUAAGCAGGGCCUGGUGGAGUGGGCCGCAGUGUGGGCUGCUGGGGAGAUGGGUGUUCUGUUUUUGUAGGAAACCAGGGCCCAGCCCGGGGUGGCUCCUCACCUGUGUAGGACCCUGCUAUGCCAUAGACCCUCCCGGGUGAGGGGUCUCCAAGUUGCGGGCAGAGGCUGGCCGGGCCAAGCGGCCAUGAGGCUCAUCAUCCCCUCCGCCGUGGCCGGGUGUGGUGCAUCCGCCUUAGCUCAUGCAGACCUGUGCUUGGCUUUCCUCGAUGGGGCAGCUGGAGCUCUGCAGCGGGUCACUUUUCACCUGUGUGGUUUACACCCGACCGGUUGGCUGCUUUGAAAAGGUGUCUCCCUUGCUUUGGUCCCUGCAGGGCCCUGGGUUAGUCCUAGCCCAGCAUGGAUGAAGCCCUUCUGCAAGGCAGGAGGGCACCCUGUGGGGCAGGUCCUUCCCCCUGUCCAGAGAAGUCCAGGGUGCCCUUGCGUGUGCCUCCACGGGCAGUGUGGGGGAAGGGAGGGGUGUUCCAGGCCAGGCCAGGCACAUCCUAGAACUCCCCUCUCAGUUGUGUGUG